CGCCGCGCGGACGUGAUGUGUUGAGGGUCCACGGGAGUCGUGCUCAUGCAGUGCGCGUAAAAUAUUUUCUUGCUCAGAUGGCUAACGGUGAUAAAGGGAAACAGCUCCCACCUGCACCAUUACAUUACUUCAAAAAAGAUGGUACGCCUGUGUCCUGCCUCAGGUUUUUGACACUCCAAAGGAAGGUAUUUCUUGCCCAGGGUAGUCAAGAUGGAAAUCUAACGAUCUGGGACCUUGAGACUUGCAAGCAGAAAUUUUCUGUGGAGGCUCAUGGGUCUCCCUGUCAGGCAGUCUUGCAGCUGGAUGAAGGCCAGGCGCUCACACAGGGUAGAAACGACUCCAUCUGCAUUUGGGACUUGGACCUGCCCAAGCCUGUCUCAACUUUCCCCUUCUUGCAUUAUGGCUUUUGCAAGGUAGUGCAAGUCGGCAACCUUGUGGCAUGCCCCGCUGAGCCCCCCUCAGCCGUCGCUCUACUGGACCCGCGCUCGGGUCGGGAUGGGGG